UAAAAGGGCGCUCGUCGACUGGUGGCGCAUGGGGGAAAAAUCUCCCGUGGAGUAUGGAAAUCCAGACAUACUCAGUGCAUAAUGUUUGGAACGGGAGGAAGUUGCCUAGGCUCCAGAAGUCGGGCGACGCCUCC